ACUCUCAACUCUCGUAUCUCAAUCUCUCAACUCUCAUAUCUCAAUCUCUCAACUCUCAUCAACAAGUAGUAGUAGACGCAACUCUCACCAACUCUCAUCAACUCUCGUCAAUCUGUGACACAACAACUCUCAUCAACUCAACACCGAGAUUUCUCAGCAAUUUUCCGGUGACUCAGAGGAGGAGGAGACGCAAUUUUCCGGUGCGACGAAAUUUCUCAGUCUCCUUUCUUUCUUCUCUCAUUCUCUCUUCUCUAACUCCGAUCUGAAGGAGGAAGAGAAGGAAUUGCAAACCAAGACUUACAUUUCGAUUGUUUUGCGAUUUUCAGAUUUUUAGAUUUAGGUUGUUUUAGGAUUUUCAAAUUUUUAUAUUCGGUUGUUUUAGCCUAGGAUUUCCAGAUUUUUUAUAUUUUGAUUGUUUUAGGAUUUCGCUGAACAAUUCAUAUUAUUCCAGAUUUUUUCAUUCUC